ensembl:lncRNA
UGACAGCCCAGUGAAUCACCUCGCUGAUCUCCAGGGAAAUGCUUUGUUCCGGCGAGAGAGGAGAAGCACUUGCACGCAACUGUCGUGUGUGUGUGUGUGUCGGGGCAGGAGUGAAAACCUGGACCUCAUCGCCCUGUGGACUUUAACUACUGGCCUUUCCUGCUUCACCUGCAGAUACUGAGUCCAGCGCUGACCACAGAGAGGAGGAGGACGAAGGAGGAGGACGAAGGAGGACGAAGGAGGCCUAGCCACGGCAGCAGUCGACCGCGGCCCCCCUGGACCAGUGGAGCCCCCCCCCCCAGCCAUAGAAGGAAAGCAAUGGUUUUGGGAGCUGGAGGCCAUAGCAGCAUCGAUAGAGUUUGCGUGGGUGGCAUCCUCUUCCCUUCAGCGAGCCCCCCCCCUGCCCCGGGAUGCCCCCCCG